rfam:Candidatus Kaiserbacteria bacterium RIFCSPLOWO2_01_FTLL_51_21 rifcsplowo2_01_scaffold_1962, whole genome shotgun sequence.
CGGGCUGUGGUAUAACGGCAUUACGCAUGGCUGGGGGUCAUGCAACCCGGGUUCGACUCCCGGCAGCCCGA